AGAGUUUGAUCAUGGCUCAGAAUCAACGCUGCGGCGUGCCUAACACAUGCAAGUCGAACGCGAAAGCCCCGCAAGGGGUAAGUGGAGUGGCAAACGGGUGAGUAACACGUGGGUGACCUGCCUUCGAGUGGGGGAUAACGUCCCGAAAGGGACGCUAAUACCGCAUGACAUCCUGCGUUUGGAAACGCGGAGAUCAAAGCCGGGGAUCGCAAGACCUGGCGCUUGAAGAGGGGCCCGCGCCUGAUUAGCUAGUUGGUGGGGUAAUGGCCUACCAAGGCAACGAUCAGUACCCGGCCUGAGAGGGCGGACGGACACACUGGGACUGAGACACGGCCCAGACUCCUACGGGAGGCAGCAGUGGGGAAUUGUUCGCAAUGGGCGCAAGCCUGACGACGCAACGCCGCGUGGAGGACGAAGAUCUUCGGAAAGUAAACUCCUGUCGAGCGGGAAGAGCGCUUCCCGGGUGAAUAAUCCGGGGAAUUGACGGUACCGCUAAAGGAAGCCCCGG
rnacentral:rRNA from 1 species